GAUGAACGCUGGCGGCGUGCUUAACACAUGCAAGUCGAACGGAAAGGCUCCUGCUUGCAGGGGUACUCGAGUGGCGAACGGGUGAGUAACACGUGGGUGAUCUGCCCUGCACUUCGGGAUAAGCCUGGGAAACUGGGUCUAAUACCGGAUAGGACCACAUUUUGGAUGGUGUGGUGGAAAGUUUUUCGGUGUGGGAUGAGCUCGCGGCCUAUCAGCUUGUUGGUGGGGUAAUGGCCUACCAAGGCGUCGACGGGUAGCCGGCCUGAGAGGGUGUACGGCCACAUUGGGACUGAGAUACGGCCCAGACUCCUACGGGAGGCAGCAGUGGGGAAUAUUGCACAAUGGGCGCAAGCCUGAUGCAGCGACGCCGCGUGGGGGAUGACGGCCUUCGGGUGGUAAACUCCUUUCGCUAGGGACGAAGCGCAGGUGACGGUACCUGGAGAAGAAGCACCGGCGAACUACGU
rnacentral:rRNA from 1 species